GGGUGAGUGGCUGAAACCACCAGUUUGCUAAACUGACGUACGGGUUACCGUACCGGGGGUUCGAAUCCCCCA
rnacentral:tRNA from 1 species